ensembl:lncRNA
ACACCAUCACAGUAUUAGUCACAUGAUCUCAGUAUUAGUCACAUGAUCUCAGUAUUAGUCACAUGACCUCAGUAUUAGUCACAUGAUCUCAGUAUUAGUCACAUGAUCUCAGUAUUAGAUCUCAGUAUUAGUCACAUGAUCACCAUCUCAGUAUUAGAUCACAUGAUCACUUUCUCUCUCUUUUGACUGGACAGAGACUCUAGGUCUUCAUGGUGCUCAUCAGGGACAUUGACAUCUUACCUCCUUAUUUGUUUCAAGACAAAGCUAUUUCACGAUGAGAGCCGUUGUUAUUAAAAGAUAACGUGCUAUUUCACGAUGAGAGCCAUUGUUAUUAAAAGAUAACAGCUCUCGGCUGAAUUUGUAAUUGUCACGUCAGAGCCCGGACCUGCACCAGCCACGCCCCCUUUGGUUUCCACUCGCUCACCUGCACCGCGUUCACAUUCACCUGUUAACUAAUCACCCACACCUGUCACUGCCCUACUUAUACCUCGCACUCCCUUCAUAUACCACUGUCACUUUUCAUAGGUUUCACAGUGUGUUUCACAGUUCGCUUCUUGCACUAACACUGAAUUAUAUUUUAUGUGUGAUGACUUAUUUUGCUUUUGUAAGCCAAUACUUUCAAGAUCAGUCAAUAAAUAUUGUUGGUUUUGACUUAUGUUACCCCUUCUUUAUGAUGUUACUGGACAUAUCAUGUGUCCUGUUAAGCUCAUACAAGAUUUGAGACACGUGGAUAAUGAAAAAGUGGGAUCAUUUAAUGUGGAGCCACAUCAUGUUUGCUUAUGAAGGCUCCUGGAUGCAACUUCCUUCCAUAGCUUUCCACCUGUAACUUGCUACUCUAGCUAUGUAGCAAGAGAGGACAUAUUACUGUUGUGUGCUGCCAAUAGUGGACAAAAAGGUAUUGCUGUAUGAGUUAAUCAGCUAACUUAAUGUACCUACUGAAUGGGUCGGCCUAAUCAUUAUCAAAAAAAUUGCCUCCCCUGAGAAUUUUUUCAGGAGCCGCCACUGCUCACCUGAAUACUAAUCACCCACACCUGUCACACCUGUCACACCUGUCACAGCCCUACUUAUACCUCGCACUCCCUUCACUCGGGGUCUGGUCUGGCACUGUAUGGAUUACUUUCCAAGUCCUGCAUUCCUGACGUCUGAUGAGUAUCGCUAUAGUUCGCAUUCAAGUUUGUCUUUGUUUCUUUCAUAGCCUCAGUUAUAGUUUGUCCAUAGUCUUGCAGAGUUCGACUCGAGUGUUUUGUUUCACGCUAAGGCGUGUUAGUUUGGUUUAGUUUGUUCUAAGAGUAAGACUCUGUUUAUUUCCUUUCUGCGCCUUCCGUGCCUGUUUCCUGAGUUUCAUUCAGUGCUUCGAGCCUGCGCCCCUCCGUGGGUUUGUCUACGUGCAAGAGGAUCUGUUCCUCAUCAUCUGUGUUCCCCUACAACCUGUGGUCUGUCGUGUUUGUUCCCUGGCUGUCUAUCUGCAAUAAACUCUGUUUGCAAGAAACU